rnacentral:rRNA from 1 species
UACGUAGGGUCCGAGCGUUGUCCGGAAUUAUUGGGCGUAAAGAGCUCGUAGGCGGUCUGUCGCGUCGGUCGUGAAAACUUGGGGCUUAUCCCUGAGCUUGCGGUCGAUACGGGCAUGACUGGAGUUCGGCAGGGGAGACUGGAAUUCCUGGUGUAGCGGUGAAAUGCGCAGAUAUCAGGAGGAACACCGAUGGCGAAGGCAGGUCUCUGGGCAUUAACUGACGCUGAGGAGCGAAAGCAUGGGGAGCGAACAGG